UCUGCCCGAUGAGAAGAAUGGCCCGUA
rnacentral:piRNA from 1 species